GUGUGUGUGUGGGGCAAUGUGUACAUGUGUGACACUGUGUGUACAUGUGGGGCAAUGUGUGUGGGGGGGGCAGUGUGUUUAUGUGUAGGGCAGUGUGUACAUGUGUGACACUGUGUGUACAUGUGGGGCAGUGUGUGUGUGUGUGGGGCACUGUGUACGUGUGGGGCAAUGUGUGUACAUGUGGGGCAAUGUGUGUGUGUGUGUGUGGGGCAAUGUGUGGGGCAGUGUGUGUGUGUGUGGGGCAGUGUGAGUGUGUGGGGCACUGUGUGUGUGUGUGGGGCACUGUGUGUACAUGUGGGGCACUGUGUGUACAUGUGGGGCAGUGUGUGUGUGUGUGGGGCAGUGUGUGUACAUGUGUGACACUGUGUGUACAUGUGGGGCAGUGUGUGUGUGUGGGGCAGUGUGUGUGUGUGGGGCAGUGUGUGUGUGUGGGGCAGUGUGUGUACAUGUGUGACACUGUGUGUACAUGUGGGGCACGGUGUGUGGGGCAGUGUGUGUGUACAUGUCGGGCAAUGUGUGUACAUGUGUGACACUGUGUGUACAUGUGGGGCAAUGUGUGUGUGUGUGGGGCACUGUGUACAUGUGGGGCACUGUGUGUACAUGUGUGACACUGUGUGUACAUGUGUGUCACCGUGUGUACAUGUGUGUGACACUGUGUACAGGUGUGUCACCGUGUGUACACGUGUGUCCCGGUCCCCCAGCAGGACCCACACCGCAGUGAAGAGCACUCCUGUCCAUCUCCCCACAGCUGCUGCAGGAUGCAGUUGCAGCCCGGGAUGCAGCGGGGGUUCAUUCCUGCUCUGCCCCAAUGCAUUGGCAAAUGCAACAGCCGGGAACUGCGGCUCGGGCCCUUGUGGAGAGAGGAACACACAGAGGGAGGGAGGGUGGGACAGUCACCCCUGCAGACACAGCUUCACCAAACUCAUCAACAACACCAAUUAACGCUCCUCUCCUGCUUUCUGGGUUUUCCCUUUCUGCUCCCCCAUGCACUGAAAUGAGCACAGGGCUGUUCUGUUUGAAAUAAAAGCAGAUUAUUUGUUCUGGGAACGCUCGGGAUCCGCUCCACGCUCUUCUCUGGCCUGAUGCCACAGAAAUGGGAUUUGAAGGAGGGAGAGGGGGGGACCUGGAAGGUUCCCCUGGGGGAAGGGAAAGGCAGGAGCUGCUGGAAUCCCUGGAUCUCCAGGGGGAUGAGAAGCAGCCCCUCCUGUCCCACACAGAAUUCCCAGCAGGACAAUUCCCACUGCCCAGGGAUGAAACCUCCCUGGGCUGGGGGGUCCCAAACUGCGACAGCCGCAUCCAGGGGGUGUCAGCUGGAAAUUAAGGCCAUUUUCAAGGUCUACUUACAAGUCCAAGAAACAAAGAGCUCUUAUUUCCACACGGAGUUCAAAAUGCGGGCAGGAGGCUCCCGUGAGCAGUGCCAGCCCCGGAGGGAUGGACAGGCACUGCCACAUGCACGGGAGCCGUUCCAGAGGGACACAAACACGGAAUUCCCACACGAGAAGAGUUUCAGGCUCACCCUGGACCUUCAGCAAAGGGCUCUGAGUCACCUGGGCCCAAAUUCCUCCUGGUUUUUUUUGCCAGGUUUCCUCCAGUUUGAGCUGCCUUUUAUCUCCUCCUUAAACUGAAGAAGUGUGAGGGGUCUGAAACAAGCAGCCACCAGGAAUGAACGUGUCCUACCCUGCCAAAAAAAAAUAAAUCCCAAAACAUUCCCAAGAGAUGCGGGGAAACCUCUGAAGGGCGUGGAGAGGGAUCAAAUUAAAAUAAAAAAAAAAUGAAAUAAAAUUAAAAAGACACAGGGAAACACCAAGAAAAAAAAGAAAUUCCACAUUUUUAGUGCAAAUGGUCAACAAAUGGCACGGAAAGGUGAGGGGACACCCCGGGAUCGGGGAGAUCCCGACCCUGCAGGAACCUCAGCACGGCAGGCCGGGAUUUCUGGAAGCACACAGAAACUUGGUAUAACUCAUUAGGAGAGCAGUGAGAUGGUGUUAAUUGCAGGGGGGGGCUCAUUAAUAGUGGGGAACUCCCAGCACAGGAGAAGUUUUGGGAUUGGGAGUGCUGGGUUUCCACAUCCAGCCGGUGCAGGAGGCUGGGAAGGGCUGAAUUCCCGCUGGGAAUUGGGAGCCGAGGGGAUUUUAGGGAAUGGGAUCCAUGUGGCUGCUCGCCCUCGGGGGCUGCACUGUUAAUUAGUUAAUGAGAUUCCAAAUGCUGCUCAUUCCUGAUUAAUUCCUGCCUUUCCUGUGCUGGGAGAUGCUGUCCCCGUGCAGAUCCCAGGGGAAUGAGGAUGCUCCAGCAGUGCCCUUUAAAUCCAUCCAUUCCCAGAAAUCUGGGAAUCGCCAUCGAUCCCGCGGGAGUGAAACCCCCAAUUCCCAGCCUGGGCAAUCUGGAUGGGAAUUUUUUUAAUUUGCAGCACAGAACAUGCACAGGGACCACCAGAAAUAAUCAAUUCUCCAUUUAAUUAAACAGAAUUUUGGAGGAUUUGAUCCUGGUCAUUCUGGAGCAAGAGAUUUUUUUUUUUUUUCCCCCGGGUGAAUGAAGGAAUUUUUAAGUUCCAACCACCCUAUUUUGCCUAUUCCAAAGGAAAAUAUCUAAACUUGCCUUAGGCUUCCUUAUUCCUGCUUAACAUCUGUUUAAAAUUCCAGUUAGUUUAAAAAUACCUACAUAUAUAAUAUAUAUAAUAUAUUUCUGGAGUAAAACCACAAAAAAAAAUGUACUGUACAAAUAUUAUGUAGAGUGCUUCCAUUGGCUGUAUGUAGUUGAGCUACUUUCCUAAUAUCCAAAUAUUUAAAUAAAAAAAAAAAAAAAAGAAAUGACAACAACAAUGACCAAAAAUAAAAUCAUAAAUAAGUAACAGAAUAAGUAAUGAAUAAGAAUAAAAAAAUUAAAAAAUCAUGAUUCUACUAGCCUGGCAUUGCUAUGGAAAUGCCCUUCCUGUUGCCCAGGAAUCUCUCACAAAGUAAAAAUUAGGAUUAUGCAGGUUAGUCUCUAUUUUUUUUUUAGCUGCUUUAAGAUGUUCUGAUCCUCUGUCUAAUCAAGUAAUGAAUUAUAGAACUUUCAUGUGUGCUCAGAAAUGCUCUCUAUAUAUGUAGCCAUAUAUAGAAAUAGAUAUAUAUUACAUAUAUAUUUAAAAAAACAAACAAAACAAAACAACAAAAAAAAUAAUAAAAA